GACGGGGGGGGCAAGUGUUCUUCGGAAUGACUGGGCGUAAAGGGCACGUAGCCGGUGAAUCGGGUUGAAAGUGAAAGUCGCCAAAAAGUGGCGGAAUGCUCUCGAAACCAAUUCACUUGAGUGAGACAGAGGAGAGUGGAAUUUCGUGUGUAGGGGUGAAAUCCGUAAAUAUACGAAGGAACGCCAAAAGCGAAGGCAGCUCUCUGGGUCCCUACCGACGCUGGGGUGCGAAAGCAUGGGGAGCGAACAGG
rnacentral:rRNA from 1 species